CCUCUUUUUCUUCUCAUUUCCUUCGAAAACCACGUUCUUUCACCCACCUCUCAGUCUCUCAUUUCCAAGUUCCAACUACCUUUCGUUCUUCUUCCUCCCUUCGAUGUCAGACCACAACCCUAAAGAACCCAACAUCAACUCCCUCAGCCUCGAUCUCACCCAACUCAUCUUCUCUUCCCUUCCUCUCCCUUCCCUCCUCCGUGCUUCCGCCGUUUGCAAGCUCUGGAAUUCUCUUAUUUCCUCCCCUUCUUUUACUUCCCCUUGCCUUUCCUACCCUUGGUUCUUCCUCUUCGGUCUCCACAACACUUCUUCUCGGAACAACCAGUCUUUCGCCUUCGACCCUUUGUCCAACGCCUGGUUUCUUCUCCCUCGCCUUGAUGACCCCUCUUCCUCCUCUGCUUUCCUCGGCUCCAAUGGCUUCUUUUUCACCACCACUCCCAAUUUCAGCUACACCCCAGUUCUCAAAUCCGCCUGGCGUUUCACCUCGCCCUUGAAGUUCUCCAGGCUUAACCCUCUUUUGGGUGUCUUCUACGAUGGUUCCUCCGGUGGGUUCGGCUUCAAAUUCAUCGUCGUCGGUGGAGUCAGGUUCAUUGGUGGCUUGGUUGAUAUCGAAGACAGGUUGGCUGUUGAAAUAUAUGACCCGAAUCGUGAUUCUUGGGAGCUUUGCCCCGCUUUGCCGGCUGAUUUCAGGUCCGGGAACUCAAGCCAAUCUCUUUCAUCAGCUUUGUUCAAGGGCAAAUUCUACGUCUCUGGGAUCUACUCUUGCUUUGUAUCUUCUUUUGAUUUACGAAACCGCGUUUGGAGUGAGGUUCAAACUCUCAGGCCACCAGGGGUCAUUUUUUCCUUUUUGAUUCCGUGCAACGACAUGCUUGUUUUGGCCGGGAUGUGCAACGCGCCACGGGGACCGUCGUUUAAUCUCUGGAAAAUCGAUGAAACUACAUUGGAAUUCAGCGAGAUUUCGAUCAUGCCGCAGAGCUUGUUACACAGCUUGGUAGAAAGCGAGGAAGAUGAAAAUUUUGCAAGCUUGAAAUGCGUUGGAAUGGGGAAUCUUAUAUAUGUAUUCAAUGAAGAGUAUCACCAAAAGUACCCAUCAUGUCUUUGCGAAAUCAGUGCUGAAAAUGGGAAAUGCAGUUGGAGGAGAGUGCCUCGGUUGCCAUUACCUGUUAACAAAUUCCAUAAAGUCAUUAGCUUUUGUUCCACCGUUUCUCUAACUCAUUCUUUCCCCCAACAAUAAGAUGAUGGGGGUGGCACAAGCUAUGUAUCACCUUGUUGAUUAGUUGUGCUACAGCCAAGGAUGCCUAUGCUUGCUGAUCAGUCAACUGUUCUACUUCAAUAACUGACCUUCAGUUAACCAAAAGAGUAAAAGAUAGUACUGAAAUAAAUACACCAACUUGCUCAAAGGCAAGUCCAACAACAGAUUAUCAAGAACCCCACAAAUUGUGGUUGCAAAACAGAAUCAUGCUUUCAUGCUGAGAUGAGCUUGAAGAUGCCUGCUACUGUACAGUUCUUCAUCUGCCAGCUCUUGCAUCUAAAUAGUCUUUUGAAAAACAUUGUUAGCUUUUUAUUUGCAGAGUCUCACAAGGAAAUAAGGUCACAGAGUGUUUUGUGGAUGCUUUAGUUUCUUCUUUCGAUCGAUAAUCCCUCAAAAUCGAUCCUCUCAUUCAGUUAACUAUUAUGUUGGUGUCUAUGUAUUGAAAUUGUUGUUCUGAAAUAGAUUUGUGCUUCUUUUCUCUGUCAGAAUUUGAAAUGUGAAUUGUAUGAAUAAAUUACUUUUUAUGGAGUAA